GAUGAACGCUGGCGGCGUGCCUAACACAUGCAAGUCGAGCGGCAGCGUGGGGUGCUUGCACCCUGUCGGCGAGCGGCGGACGGCUGAGUAACGCGUGGGAACGUGCCCCAAAGUGAGGAAUAACUGCCCGAAAGGGUAGCUAAUACCGCAUAUUAUCUUCGGAUCAAAGGAUUUAUCCGCUUUGGGAGCGGCUCGCGUCGGAUUAGGUAGUUGGUGAGGUAAUGGCUCACCAAGCCGACGAUCCGUAGCUGGUCUGAGAGGAUGACCAGCCAGACUGGAACUGAGACACGGUCCAGACUCCUACGGGAGGCAGCAGUGAGGAAUCUUCCACAAUGGGCGAAAGCCUGAUGGAGCAACGCCGCGUGCAGGACGAAGGCCUUCGGGUUGUAAACUGCUUUUAUAAGUGAGGAAUAUGACGGUAACUGAUGAAUAAGGAUCGGCUAACUACGUG
rnacentral:rRNA from 1 species